rnacentral:misc_RNA from 1 species
UAACCUUCAAGCAUAGCUUGGUGUUGGGUGCUUGUCCCCCCUAGUGGUGGACUCACCUUAAAUGCAUUGGCGGCCGGUAUGUUGGCUUCGAGCGCAGUACAACGCGCCUGGUGUCUAGACGUGCUGGUCCUCCACAAGACCUUCUUUAAUC